rnacentral:rRNA from 1 species
UACGGUAGGGGGCAAGCGUUUGUCCGGAUUUAUUGGGCGUAAAGAGCGUGUAGGCGGCUUUACAGGUCCGUUGUGAAAACGUCGAGCUCAACCUCGAGACGCCGGUGGAAACCGUAAGGCUAGAGUCCGGAAGAGGAGAGUGGAAUUCCUGGUGUAGCGGUGAAAUGCGCAGAUAUCAGGAAGAACACCCGUGGCGAAGGCGGCUCUCUGGGACGGUACUGACGCUGAGACGCGAAAGCUAGGGGGAGCAAACAGG